CCAUUUUAUUUCUUAUUCCCAUUAUUUUUCAAACAAAAAGAAGCAGAAUGCUUCUUCUUCCCUGCUCCUUUUCCAUUUUUCUUUGCUAGGAAUUCAACCUAGCUUGCGCCACUUGGAGGAUCAUCGGUGCCACGCACCUCCACCUCACCGCCGGUUCACGGAUCAAGACCAGAUAUAGCUGCGAAAAUCUCGGAAUCGAGAGGCGUGGCGGAGUGGGACGCUGGUGAGAGGCGUGCGGCGCGAGGACUCAUGCAACAACUUUGAGUCUCUGUUCGUUUGGGCCUUGUUUGGGUCUAUUUUUGUGCCUAUUUUUCUUGUAUUGGAUCAUGGCAUGAAUUUGGUCCUACACUGAUCAUUACAAUUUCAUUUGUUUCACUGAAAAUGAUUUCUUGGCUUUUCUGGAAAAGUUAAUAUUUUUUGGGAGUUUGAAUAAA